rnacentral:rRNA from 1 species
GAAAGGGGCUUCGGCCCCGAGUAGAGUGGCGCACGGGUGAGUAACGCGUGGAUGAUCUGCCCUGAUGUUGGGAAUAACAGUUGGAAACGGCUGCUAAUACCGAAUACGCUCCCCUUUCACCAUGGGAGGAAAGACGGCCUUUGCUUGCAAGCUGUCGCAUGAGGAUGAGUCCGCGUCCCAUUAGCUAGUUGGUGAGGUAACGGCCCACCAAGGCGACGAUGGGUAGCCGAUUUGAGAGGAUGAUCGGCCACACUGGAACUGAAACACGGUCCAGACUCCUACGGGAGGCAGCAGUGGGGAAUAUUGCGCAAUGGGCGAAAGCCUGACGCAGCGACGCCGCGUGAGGGAUGAAGGUCUUCGGAUCGUAAACCUCUGUCAGAAGGGAAGAAAGCAGCGGGUGCCAAUCAGCCUGCUGUUGACGGUACCUUCAAAGGAAGCACCGGCUAACUCCGUGCCAGCAGCCGCGGUAAUACGGAGGGUGCAAGCGUUAAUCGGAAUUACUGGGCGUAAAGCGCACGUAGGCUGUUUUGUAAGUCAGGGGUGAAAGCCCACGGCUCAACCGUGGAAUUGCCCUUGAUACUGCGGGACUUGAAUUCGGGAGAGGAUGGCGGAAUUCCAGGUGUAGGAGUGAAAUCCGUAGAUAUCUGGAGGAACAUCAGUGGCGAAGGCGGCCAUCUGGAUCGACAUUGACGCUGAGGUGCGAAAGCGUGGGGAGCAAAC